CAAACGGCCCUCUUUAGGGCCACAAAUACCCAGAAAUCCAAAUGAU
rnacentral:ncRNA from 14 species